rnacentral:rRNA from 1 species
AUUGAACGCUGGCGGCAGGCCUAACACAUGCAAGUCGAGCGGAUGAAGGGAGCUUGCUCCUGGAUUCAGCGGCGGACGGGUGAGUAAUGCCUAGGAAUCUGCCUGGUAGUGGGGGAUAACGUCCGGAAACGGGCGCUAAUACCGCAUACGCCCUGAGGGAGAAAGUGGGGGAUCUUCGGACCUCACGCUAUCAGAUGAGCCUAGGUCGGAUUAGCUAGUUGGUGGGGUAAAGGCCUACCAAGGCGACGAUCCGUAACUGGUCUGAGAGGAUGAUCAGUCACACUGGAACUGAGACACGGUCCAGACUCCUACGGGAGGCAGCAGUGGGGAAUAUGGGACAAUGGGCGAAAGCCUGAUCCAGCCAUGCCGCGUGUGUGAAGAAGGUCUUCGGAUUGUAAAGCACUUUAAGUUGGGAGGAAGGGCAGUAAGUUAAUACCUUGCUGUUUUGACGUUACCAACAGAAUAAGCACCGGCUAACUUCGUG